rnacentral:snRNA from 2 species
UUACUUACCUGGACGUGGUCAAUGUGCGAUUAAGAAGGCCCAUGGCCUAGAUCAGUGGCCCACAUUGCACUUGGUAGGUGCGCUGGUCUACCAUCUUGCGUUGGUUUACCAUCUUUUACCAUCUUCUCAAGUAGGAUCUUAAGUAGGAGAGUGGACGUCAUAAUAAGGGGGGUAUGCGUUCGUGCGGUCACUGA